rnacentral:rRNA from 1 species
UACGAAGGGGGGCUAGCGUUGUUCGGAUUUACUGGGCGUAAAGCGCACGUAGGCGGAUAUUUAAGUCAGGGGUGAAAUCCCGGGGGCUCAACCCCGGAACUGCCUUUGAUACUGGGUAUCUCGAGUCCGAGAGAGGUGAGUGGAAUUCCGAGUGUAGAGGUGAAAUUCGUAGAUAUUCGGAGGAACACCAGCGGCGAAGGCGGCUCACUGGCUCGGUACUGACGCUGAGAUGCGAAAGCGUGGGGAGCAAACAGG